AAGUCGUAACAAGGUUUCCGUAGGUGAACCUGCGGAAGGAUCAUUAACACGUAUCCAACGUUAAACAACCCUGUGAACUUUCAGCCUGCUCUUGUAACCAUGAGGAACAGCAAUCCCGGUAAAUCAUUGCAAACAGUUUUGAUUCGGGACCUCUGUCCAAAAGGAGUUACAAUUGAGCGGUAGAGGCAGUGGCAUGGCUUCCCCAAGCAGUUAGUGAAUGACAGUGUCACUGAUUGUGUAAGGAUAACGCCUCACGGUUGCCAGAGGUCGAUCACCGACCGGCAGACAUGUCACACUGGGUCAAAAAAACCGAACAACUGUUAACAAUGGAUAUCUUGGUUCUC
rnacentral:misc_RNA from 1 species